rnacentral:rRNA from 1 species
UACGUAGGGCGCAAGCGUUGUCCGGAAUUAUUGGGCGUAAAGAGCUCGUAGGCGGCCUGUCGCGUCUGCUGUGAAAUCCCGGGGCUUAACCCCGGGCGUGCAGUGGAUACGGGCUGGCUGGAGGCAGGCAGGGGAGAACGGAAUUCCCGGUGUAGCGGUGAAAUGCGCAGAUAUCGGGAGGAACACCGGUGGCGAAGGCGGUUCUCUGGGCAGUAACUGACGCUGAGGAGCGAAAGCGUGGGGAGCGAACAGG